GUGAACGCUGGCGGUAUGGAUAAGGCAUGCAAGUCAAGGGGCCGCAAGGCACCGGCAGACGAGGUAGUAACACGUAGGAACGUCCCCCAGAGUCUGGUAUAGCUCGCCGAAAGGCGGGGUAAUCCCAGAUGGUCUCGUAAGAGUAAAGGAGCAAUUCGCUCUGGGAGCGGCCUGCGUAAUAUCAGCUAGUUGGUAAGGUAAUGGCUUACCAAGGCUAUGACGUUUAGGGGAGCUGAGAGGCUGACCCCCACCGAUGAAACUGAGACACGGUUCAUACCCCUACGGGGGGCCGCAGCCGAGAAUAUUCGACAAUGGGCGAAAGCCUGAUCGAGCGAUACCGCGUGGUGGAUGAAGUGCUUCGGCACGUAAACAUCUUUUAUGAGGGAAGAAGUUAUUGACAUUACCUCAUGAAUAAGGGGCUCCUAACUCUGU
rnacentral:rRNA from 1 species